rnacentral:lncRNA from 1 species
CAGGAAUUUCGUCAUACUCUGUGACCUGCCCCCUACACGCCCACGGCACAGAACAACCACAGUCAGAACAACAAAGCCGACGAUCGUUGGUUGCGUAAGCCAAAUUUUAUACACGCUCAAGUUUGGCUUCGAGUCGAAGUGCUAACUUUUGUUCAGAUAUAAACGAAUACUACAUUUUUGCUUAUUGCCGGUAAGUUCUUUAUAUUCUGUUUAGGAAAACUUUCUAGUAAAAGUGAUUUUCUGUUGUUUGGUUGUGUUCGCUCAGUGUGUCGAUGAAUGGCCCAAUUUAUAUGUUCGCAUUUUGCUCGACAAAUCGUCGUAUUUUUUACAUUUUUCAACAAGGUCUAUGAAGAGGCCUCCUAUAAAUAAAAUAUGAAAGAAUCUUCUUUGUCGACUCUUUUUUUAAACAUUGAUUCAUUAAACCGAACUGUUCAAAAGUUAUUAAAGUUUAUAUAGCUACAGUUACGUAAACAUGAUGUGACGUAUAUGGGCCUGCUUCGGGUUCUUUUCAUAUUUGCCUUGUAGUGGUUUUACAUGUAAAUUAAAAAAGUAGUUUUAAACUUACAAUUAUAACGUUCAUAUAUACAUUAAUAUGUUUCAAAAUGCGUAUUAAUUGUAACUUUGUGCGAAUUUAGAAUACGAUGAAAAUAUUCUCGAUAUUCGACACACUAAUUUUAUAGAAUUUUUUUGUGUUUAUGAAACGUUUAUGAAACAAUAUAAACAUGGGCGUACCGGAAGGAAAAAAUUAGGGGGGCGGAAAGAAAAUUGCCCGACUUUUCAAAUUCUGCCCGACUAGUAUCAAAAAAAUUUUUCCGGCAAAAUUAUUUUCGCGACCCCCCCGUCGCCAAAAAAAUUUCGGUCAGUGUACCAUUUUAGGGGUCAAAAAAUUUUUCCGGACAAACAAUUUUUUUCGCAACAUAACACAAAUUUUCGAAAAAUCGCAAAAUUUGCCAAAAAAUUGACUUAAUUUUAGACAAAAUUGACUUAAUUUUUGACAAAAUUGACAGAAUUUGUCCCAUUUUUUUUAUUGCAAGCCAAAAUUGCCCGACUGUUGAUCGAAUAUUGCCCGACUGCCCAAAAAACUGGGGGGCUACCGCCCCCCCGCCCGGUACGCCUAUGAAUAUAAAUUAAUAACGUUAGUUAAACUUUCAAAGUACGAAGGACUUUUCCAGUCUCGUCCGAUCCCCAUUUACCAAAUUAAUUUAAAAAAACAGAAAAAAAAACCUCGCUUCGUUGAUAUCUCUUCAAGAAAUCAAAGGGAAUAUAAUUAGUUAGAAACAUGUCAAUCAAAGCAUUGCACUCAGUUAUUAAAUUUCAUAUUUAUAAAACCACAUCUCCAUCACCCUACUUCUUUUAUCUGUGCCUAUAAUUAGUGAAUUUAUUUUCAAUAUUUUCAGCUCAAGUAUGGCAGCCUUAAAAGUUGCAAGCAACUUUUCAAAAAUAUCAAUGGCACCUUGGUACAAGACUGUAAUGAUGUGUCGACCAAAGUUUUUUGACGUCCGACAUCGUUUUCUUAAUGCUCACAUGGAUAUGAGGAUUGCAGUAAAAAAGAAUCUUGCUUUAACACAAUGGGAAAAUGCAUAUAAAACCUUGCUUGCAAAUAAUAUCAAAGUUGACCUUCUGGAACCUCACCCUGAUCUUCCUGAUAUGGUUUUCACUGCAAACGCAGGGAUCGUUCACGGUA